rnacentral:rRNA from 1 species
AUUGAACGCUGGCGGCAGGCUUAACACAUGCAAGUCGAACGGGUGGCGGACGGGUGGGUAAUGCUUGGGAAUCUAGCUUAUGGAGGGGGAUAACUACGGGAAACUGUAGCUACUACCGCGUACCUUAGGCUGAGUCCAAGUGGGAUUAGGUAGUUGGUGAGGUCAAGGCUCACCAAGCCGUCGAUCUCUAGCUGGUCUGAGAGGAUGACCGGCAACACUGGGACUGAGACACGGCCCAGACUCCUACGGGAGGCAGCAGUGGGGAAUAUUGCGCAAUGGGGGCAACCUGACGCAGCCAUGCCGCGUGAAUGAAGAAGGCCUUCGGGUUGUAAAGUUCUUUCGGUAGGGAGGCGUUAACUACAGAAGAAGCACCGGCUAACUCCGUGCCAGCAGCCGCGGUAAUAC